rnacentral:rRNA from 1 species
AAUGGAGGAAACUCUGAUGCAGCGACGCCGCGUGAAUGAUGAAGGCCUUCGGGUUGUAAAGUUCUGUCCUUGGGGAAGAUAAUGACGGUACCCAAGGAGGAAGCCCCGGCUAACUACGUGCCAGCAGCCGCGGUAAUACGUAGGGGGCGAGCGUUGUCCGGAAUUAUUGGGCGUAAAGGGUUCGCAGGCGGUCUGAUAAGUCAGAUGUGAAAGGCGUAGGCUCAACCUACGUAAGCAUUUGAAACUGUCAGACUUGAGUUAAGGAGAGGAAAGUGGAAUUCCUAGUGUAGCGGUGAAAUGCGUAGAUAUUAGGAGGAAUACCAGUGGCGAAGGCGACUUUCUGGACUUAUACUGACGCUGAGGAACGAAAGCGUGGGGAGCAAA